UACGUAGGGUGCAAGCGUUGUCCGGAAUUAUUGGGCGUAAAGCGUGCGCAGGCGGUUUUGUAAGCCAGAUGUGAAAUCCCCGGGCUUAACCUGGGAAUGGCAUUUGGGACUGCAAGGCUUGAGUGCGGCAGAGGAGACUAGAAUUCCUGGUGUAGCAGUGAAAUGCGUAGAUAUCAGGAGGAAUACCGAUGGCGAAGGCAGGUCUCUGGGCUGACACUGACGCUCAUGCACGAAAGCGUGGGGAGCAAACAGG
rnacentral:rRNA from 1 species